CUGCUGUAAUGACCCCUGAUUAACGAGUUGAUUCUAACCCUGCUGUGCCCAGUUCCUCUACCUGAGAAGUGAGCUUUAACAAAGAAGGAGACAGGCUGCAUAAAAUUAAAACACCUGAUUUUGAACAAUUAGCUAGAUAUGGAAGGCUAAUCUUUCAGAUCAUCUUUCUAAAAAUGAAAAAAUGGACUAGAUCUCUGGUCCUUAAACUUGGCCAUCCAUCAGAAUCACCUGCAGAGCACAGAUUCUGGUUCAGUAGCUCUGGGGCAGGUCAAGAAUCUGCAUGUCUGACACUACCGCCUCUGCUGCCGACACUACCGCUUCUGCUGCCGUCACCACUGCCAGGUCUGCCCCACUCAAUGCUGGUGCUACCGGUCAGCCAGAACCACACUGCAUAUCCCUGGAAAGGGUGCUUGGUUGGAAGGCCUUUGUGAGAGAAACAGCCUUAGUGUCCCUCGUGCAUAAACUGAGGAUAAUAGUUGUCUGCUCGUGUUAUGUAGAUUUGUUGCGAGCACUAAAUGACUUAAUAUUUGUAGUGUUUAGAACUGUGUCUGAUACAAAGUAAUGGCCAUACAAGUGUUUUUAAGUAACAGUAAUUUUUAGAGUCCCAUGCCUAUUAUCCACAAGUAAACUCUAGUCUUAUACCUCUAGAACAAAUGAAAUCAACUUCCUUAGAUACAGCUGAAAUCCUGGCCUGAGUUCAGCUGAAAGCCUGGGCUUAGAUGGCUGGAAAACAAAAUAAGAAGUGUGAAUGUUCCUCAUAACUUUUCCCAGCCCUGGAGCACAGAUAACCUACAAGAUCUGGACUGAAUCUGCUGUUUCAGGCAGCAUGAUGCCCUGGGCUGGGCUGGAAGAGACAGGAACAGGCACAGGCCUUCCGUGGCUGCUGCCUUGGCCACUGAUGGCACAAUUAUCAUUCCCCACAACAGGGCCCAGCUAGCCUCAGAUCACCUCCCAGAGGCACCUCUGCUGAACUCUCCAUGACAUGUUGGUCCCACCAGUUUCUAUCAAUCACAUCCGCAUGCUGUUUCAUCACAAUAGUAACCACUGUUUAAAAUGACCUG
rnacentral:lncRNA from 1 species